AUAGAAGUUUUUGAAGUUGGAGUUGUAUUGGACAUGUAUCGCACUUGCAAAAAGUUGAAGUUCAAUGAGUUGAAAAAAUAUUCACUGAUGUCAAACUUGAAAAACUCAUCUUCAAAAAGUAACCAAAAAAUCAUUCCAAUGCAUAACCAAACAAUGUUUUGAAAAUAAAUUUUGGGAAAAGGUAAAAACUUUCAAAGUGAAAAAGAUUCUAGGAUAGUUGUUGGUUUGUGACGGAGCGGUUUGCCUGUCUCUGAGGUGCUAGUGGGGUGAAGGGAAGGUUCUUAGGUGAUAGAUGGCUGCAUGAAGAGGGUGAUGGUCGAGGUACCUCUACUAGCAAUUGGAGGACAGUUUUUUCUUUGCUGUAUUGCCAUGUAUUUAGUUAUGCUAAUAAGUUCCAUGACUACUUUAGUUUCACGCAUUUAUGUGCCUUUUGUUUUAGUCUCCUUCACAAAGAAUAAUGUUAUAUGGUCUCAAUUCAUAUGCUAUGGGAAUUGGACCCACUAUUAUUUCUUCUUGUGAUAUGAUACGAGCUAAUUUAUCAUCAAAAUGUGCAGGAACACAGGGGAGUUCAUUAUGUCAAGAUACAGGGAGGUUGCUGAAAUUGUUCUAAGAUACCUGGAGCACCGAGAUCGCCUAGUUCGCCUCAGCAUAACUUCUUUACUUCCUCGAAUUACCCAUUUCCUGCGUGAUCGAUUUGUACUAACUAUUUAACGGUUUGUGACAUUUGACUUCAUUUUAGUGAUUUAAUCUGCCUUUACUAACCGGGAUAUCUAAAUGAAUUAAAUUUGCAUCUUCAAUGUUAACUACUGUAACCUCAAGUUUGUUUAUUUUACUUCUACAGAUAUGCAUUAAUCAUAUACCUCAUGUCCUUAAAAUACCUGCAGAAUGUGCCAGUGGGUUCCUUGCUCUUGGGGAGAUGGCAAGUUCUCUAGAUGGUGAACUCAUUAACUAUUUGGCGACAAUAACCUCUCACUUGGGUGAUGUGGUAUGUUAUUUAUGUCAUUGCAGAUGUACUUUUUUUUGUUGGUGAUAAACGUAAUGUUGUAUUCCUCAGUAUUAAGGCUAUGCCGGCAACCUCUAAAAGAUGUGCCCAUAAAUUAAACAAGUAAGAGUAAAAACAGAAGAAGAAAAAACUAAAUACUUACAAAAGCACCAUAAAAUCUACUCAUCAUUCAUCUACUAGUACACCUUUACACUAAAAGUAUGAUGUAUUGAAGCAGAUUUCUUUGAUUGUCUGAACAGGGUUGGUACUAUCCUAAAAAUGUCUAUUGUUUCUUUUCUUCCAAUAGAGUUCUUGAAUCCUAAGGUUCUUUGAUUUCUUCUCUUUCUUUCAAUUAUUUUGUUGAAAAUUGUGGAGUUGGAACAUUUCAGGGAAUCUUGAUGUUGUUCUUUAAUCAUUUGUUGAAUUGGUAAGGAAGUGGAGCCAGACGUGAUUUUCAUAUUGAUAGGAUUGAGGGAAAUUAAGGAUGUAAGACUGUUCAAGAUUUUAGAUAACUCCCAAGUCUUUCUUCUGUUUCAGCCUUUGAAGGUAAGCAAGGUGGAUCAGAGGACGACUAUUUUUAUCUUACACAACUUUAAUUAUUAUUGUGGGUUUCUAUAUGUUUUUUUUUAUCCAGUUUGGUAUCAUGACGCGAUAUUGAAGUGACUGUUCACUGUUUUGUAUACAAGAUUCCUCUUAUAUGCCUCUUGUUAAUUAUUCUUAUUCACUUUCCCCUCCAUCAAUCAAGAGAGAUGGAUAGGUCCUGGUUUUAAAUUUAUAUCAAUCAUGUUGGCGAACUUUUUGGUUUGAAUAAUUAUGUGAAUACCAGGUUUUGUUUGUGUUUGUUUUCAUUCACCUUUCCUGCUUUAUUUUUUAUUAAAGGGUUAGCUGUGGGUUUCUGUCUUAAUCAUAUAACAUUCUGUUUUUGCCGAAUGUUGCUGUUUGAGUUUGAAUGCUAUUGGAUGAUCUCUCUCUGCCUCUUUCCAUUCUUCCUAGUUCCCUCGUCUAAAGUUCUCUUUUAAAUACUUGAGUUGCUUGUGAACCAUGCCAGAAAUCUUAUUUUAAUUUCUUUGGUAGGAGGGGGGCUGCAUUGGUUUUGAGGCAGCUUGUAGAGGAAGAAGCUUGUGAUCUUAGUGGAGAAGGUUUUGCUCAUUUUAUGGAUCAUCUAUAUGAACGCAUUACCACAUUUCUUGAUAGUAAUGAAGUUUCUGAGAAUCUCGGUGCAUUGAGGGAUAUUGACGAGAUAAUAGAUGGCACCAUCAGCGAAAAUGCAUCAAAAGUGACACAAUUCUCCAAUUACAUUCGCGUUGCUUUUGAAACAAAGUGUGAUCCUGAAAUCUUGGUCCUUUGCUAGGUUCUUGGUCAAAAGUUCAGGGAGUUCCUCGUAUUCUCUUUUGAUAUUUGCACUGUGAGAACACAAUCUCAUUUUCUGUUGGGGGUGCCUCCCUUGUAGUCAUUUAGUUGAUUGUUUCUGCAUAUAGUGAUUGUGCCCUUGUCGGACGUACCUUUCUUUCUUUGUUAUGGAUUGGUGUGCCCUUGUCAGGAUUUGAUAUUGUGAAUGUUUAUGUUGAUAUUGUGUUGGAUUGGUCUAUUUUAGUUUUGAUACCUAGUUUGUAGCUUCUUUGUUUUUGUUUUGAUAAAAAGAUUUGGAUUGACGAUGCCCGAUGAUGGAUAGAGCGUGACGACUUUCUUAAGGGUAAAUCGUCGAUUGCUUGUGAGUAUUUGAUUGACGUUGAUUUGAGUAGUUCACGAAUAGAUGCAUGAGGUUGUCUUUUUGUAACUUUUGAUUCGUUAGCAGUUAAAAUGUUCAAUGCUACUUGUAUUUUCAAAAGGAAGUAAGAUUUUGAACCGUCUUGAUUGAUUUGCAGGCCAUGUGUGGUGAGUUAUUGCAUAAUGCCUUGUGUUUGCUUUUGUCACCUAGAACUUGUCCGGUUGGUCUUGAAAUAUUGGUCUUGAAUGAAUUUGGUUGGAGAAAUGAUCUUAGGCUUUCUUUAAUAUCUUGGAGUCCACUUGGCCUAAAAAUCUCACCUUUGUACUAAAUAUAUCCUUAGUUGUCCCCUUUCAGCCUAAUCCUUUUUAUCGGCAACCAUAUUACAAGCCUUAUCCUUUUUGAAAAGGUAACCCUCCUUUGAACCCUUCCCUCCUUGAACUUGAGGUUGUGAAAGUUGAGUCUAAAAGCCUAAGUUGUGGGCGUUAUGGAAAAUUCGUUGAAGGGAUGCUUACCAAAUGAGGGCAUGGUGUAAAAAAAAAAAUAUAAAGAAGAGAGAAAUUGAGGGAUGGAUGGAAAGUUUUAAAGAAAGAAAAAGUUUUGAAAAAGAAAGAAUGAAAAUGAAUAAAUGAGUCUUGAAUCCUCCAAAAUUUGAAAAUGGUUGCAUGUGGAGCAUCUAAAGUGGAAAUAAGAAAAGAAAAAAUGAAAAAUAGUAUGGAAUGUGCAUGGGUUUUAAAAGUGAAGAAAAGUGGAAAAAGUUGGAAAUGAUGAGUCGUUGUGUAGUGUUCAAGGAGGGUGUAGUCACUUAUACUUAAAUGAUAUCCUAACCUUCCCUGAGCCUAUAUUACAAGCUUAACAAAGUCCUUGGAGAUUUCUAACCAAAUGGAGUGGAGUCAAUAUUGAUAGAAAAUAGGUGACAUUUGUGUGCAUGAGAUGAUUUUUAGUGAGUGCGAGUGUUGCAUCUUUGUCCUCGUAUUGUUUGUAUGUGUGGUUUCGGGAUACUUCUUUCUUGUGAGGGCAUGCAAGUUGAAAUAUUAAUGAUUUUUCUUAAUUGAGUCAAGUGAGCUAAUGAGUUGAGUCAUUUCUUGAGUUUGAGUUGUUGUCACUUAAAUGAUUCUUGAUUUUUUAUAAUGUUUCAUGUGAAUGAGAGGAUUUCUUUUGUGGAAAGUUUUCAUGUGGACUAUUUGUUGGUACCAACCGAGGCCAUUACCUUUGUGCUUAAUUGAGAAAUGGAAAUUGAUUUGUGGUGUAUCUUGAAAUAAGAAUCUCUUAUGUUUUUUGAUUUUCUUGACUUGAUGAAAAACAAACUUUCUAAGUUGGGGUGUUGAUUUGUGGUAGAUUUCUACUCAUUUGAGUCUUUUUUUCGUAGUUAUUUUGGCUUUUAGUUUAUAAUUGUUGCUUUUUGAUGUGGUUUUGCACGAAAAUUAAAUGGAGAGUUCGUACAAAAUGUUGAACGUGCAGGGUUAGCACCAUUCGAUUGUUGGCUUUGUUUUAGAGGAACCAAAACAAUGGAAGAAAAUGCUUCUACCGUCUUCAAUGUUUCACGUGCCGGAGUUUGUGGAUGCUAUUUGGGUUGCUCUGUGGGAUCCAAUGUUGGCUGUUCGGGAGAAGGUUGUUUAGACAUUGCGUGCCUGCCUUCUUGUUAUUGAAAAGUGUGAGACACGACGGCGUGUUCAGUGGUAUGUCUACUUCUCUCUCCUCCCUUAUAGUUUUUCAGAAAAUGUCAUUAACAUUUUAUCAAUAUGUGAUUGAAUGUAUCAGUCACAAAUUUCUUGUUCCAAGGCAUUUACUCUUAAAUUGGUGAUUCCGACAGGUAUUAUCGAAUGUUUGAGGCUACCCAAGAUGGAUGGCGGAGAAUCGCUCCUGUUCAUAGUAUAAUUGGAUCUCUUCUCGCAGUCGGGGAGCCGCUAAGGUUUGCUAUCGAAUUGCAUUGCAUUAUUUAAUUUCAUUGUAGGAAAGUAUUUCAGAGUCUCUUGUUGUGCUGUGUUAAAUUGCUGUGAUCUGCUGAAUGUCUGAGGAACUGGAUAUUUAUCUCCCGUUUGACUAGAGAUUUUGAAGUUGAAACUUGAAUAUUUGAAGUUGUGAUUUUCGGACAUGCAUUUUACUUGGAAAAGAACUAAAGUUUUGUUAAUGGAAGUGAAUUGGUGAGGAAGUGGAACCAGACGUGAUUUUGAUUUUGAUAGGAUUGAGGGAAAUUAAGGAAGGAUGUACAUCUUGAGUUCUUUUCUUGAUUUUUUUUCUUUUUCUUGAUUUUCUUUCCUCAAUUUUAACAGGAAGUCUCGGAUGGAGUUUUCUGAAACAUUCAUCUUAAGUUCUUUUCUCUAUUAUUUUUUCGAUAAAGUGUUCUUUUCUUGAUUUUCCUUCCUCAAUUUUACAGGAAGUAAAAAGGAGAUUGAAAUAGAAAGAACGCAGAAUGCUGCACUUUACUUUUGGGCACAUCUAUUUUUAUUUGGUUUUGUGUGGAAGAAGAUCAGCAGAUAUACUCCUAAGUCUUUCUUCAGUUUCAGCCUUAGAAGGUAACCAAGGUGGAUCAGAGGACGACUAUUUUUAUCUUACACAACUUCUAUUAUUAUUGUGGGUUUCUAUAUGAUUUUUUUAAUGCAGAUUUGUAUCAUGACACGAUAUUGAAGUGACUGUUCACUGUUUUGUAUACAAGAUUCCUCUUAUAUGCCUCUUGUUAAUUAUUCUUAUUCACUUUCCCCUCCAUCAAUCAAGAGAGAUGGAUAGGUCCUGGUUUUAAAUUUAUAUCAGUCAUGUUAGCGAACUUUUUGGUUUGAAUAAUUAUGUGAAUAUCCAGGUUUUGUUUGUGUUUGUUUUCAUUCACCUUUCCUGCUUUAUUUUUUAUUGAAGGGUUAGCAGAGAUGUCUUUUGAUGUUGAUUUCUGUCUUAAUCAUAUAACAUUCUGUUUUUUCCGAAUGUUGUUGUUUGAGUUUGAAUGCUAUUGGAUGCUCUCUCUCUGCCUCUUUCCAUUCUUCCUAGUUCCCUCGUCUAAAGUUCUCUUUUAAAUACUUGAGUUGCUUGUGAACCAUGCCAGAAAUCUUAUUUUAUUUUCUUUGGUAGGAUGGGUCUGCAUUGGCUUUGAGGCGGCUUGUAGAGGUAGAAGCUCGUGAUCUUAGUGGAGAAGGUUUUGCUCGUUUUUUUAUUUAUUUUGAAACUGUUAACUUUGUGUCUAUUGAUAGAAACAAAUCUGUACAUGGGAUGUACUAGGGCCAUAUUUACCAGUAAAUCCAGAUCCUAUGAUCCCAUGUCUAUAAUGAAGCUAACACAUCAAUAAUAGAUACAUGAUCAUUAGACCGAAUCUGAUUACACCAAAAACAUAGAAUUAAAAUACAAUUCAAUUUGAUCUGUUCUAUACUAUUUUCUAUGUUCUCAAAACACCUAGCAUUUCUCUCCUUCCAAAUUGUCCACCAUAUGCUGGCUGGUAUGAUUCUCCACCUACUUCUGCUUCUUGCCAGAACCCCAACUUCUUCCCAACUUUGAAGGGCCUCUUGGCAUAGUCCAGGAGAAACCUUUAAGGUUUAGGAAUAGCCUCCAAAGCUGACAUGUGAUCUUGCAGUGAAGGAAUAAAUGUCGAACAGUUUCUGCUUGUUCUCCGCAAAAAACGCAUCUCGGACAUAAAAUUAUCCCCUUUUUCAUCAGAUUGUCUUAUGUUAGGAUAGCUUCCUUAGAUCGGAGCCAAAUAAAACAUGAUACCUUGUAGGGUAUAUUCACUUUCCAUAUAGUUUUUCAGGGCCAGUUGGCAUUCUGUUGAUUGUGACUAUUCAACCAUCUGUAUGCUGCCUUCCCUGAAGGUUAAGCUCAUCUUCCCCUUCUUGUGUUCCUUUAAACUGGCCAAUAGUGUUAAGGAAAUCUGCAACUCUUGUGAUUUCCCAGUCAUUUACUUGUCUUCUGAAACUGAUUUCCCACCCAUUAGGUGUCCACAUUCCUGCAAUUGUUCUUUGCUGAUUUAACAUUAAGUUGUGGAUAUCUGGGUAGAUAUUCUUCAGAAUCCCCAUCUCAUGCCAGUUAUCUCCCCAGAAACUUGUCUUUUCCCCAUUUCUAACCUUAACCUUGGUUUUGAUCUUGAAAUCAUCCCACAAGGCCCUUAUAGAUCUCCACAAAUUCACUCCAUAUGGGGAAAAUACUUCCUUUGUCAUCCACCUAUUUUCUACUUCAUACUUGGCCUUGAUGACUUUUCUCCAUAACAGAUGUUUGUCGUUAGCAUAUUUCCACAACCAUUUCAUUCUGAGGUCCUUGCUAUGAUUCUGCAGAUUUUUAAUACCCAAAACCCCCAUACCUUUUUUCUAUUAUCAGAUCAUUCCACUUUACCAGAUUGUAACCUCUCCUGUCCUUGUUUCCCCGCCAUAGGAACUUCCUUCUGAUUCUAUCCAAUCUGUCAGUGACCCCUACUGGAAUGGGAAAUAAAGACAUCAUGUAAGUAGGCAUAGCAUCUAGGACUGAGUUAAUUAGAGUAAACUCUUCCUCCAAGAGACAAGUAUUGCCCCUUCCAUCUAGCCAGUUUCUUCUCACACUUUUCUAUUACACUGCUCCAGAUCUCUUUAGACAUUGAUUUAGCACCCAAAGGCAUCCCAAGGUAUGUAGUUGGGAGAGCCCCAACUUGUCCACCUAGGAUUAUGUUUAGUGCCUCCAUGUUAUGUACUUCAUUAAUGGGAUAAAGAAAACUCUUUCUCCAAUUAAUAUGCAACCCAAAGAUUCCUUCAAACAGGACCAAUAUUACUCUCAGAUAUUUGAGUUGUUCUUCUGCCCACAAAAGAUGAGUGUGUCAUCUGCAUAUUACAAAUGAGUAAUUAUCUGUGUAAAGUCCGUGAUAAAAAUCAAUUACCUUUUUUUAUUACAAUUUUGUUUGUAUCUUGUGUGAUCUCACCUUAUACCUCCAAUUGAUCAAUGUUAUUGUACCUUUUGUGGGAAUUUGCAAUUAUGUGGAAAUACUAGGUGUUUCUGUCCCCCUCUUUCAACCAUAGGGUUCUUGAUCUUUGUCGCCAAGCAAUUUCUUCUUUUUUUGAUUAGAUUCUCAUAUUCCAGUAGCACCUCACAUUUCCUUGUGGAUUCUUCUUUUGAUAAAGUCCUGGUUGUAGUUUAUCAUGGUUGUAACCACAGAAUCAAAUCUGCCAACUUCUCUAACAAUUUCUCUCUGUAAACCUAAAUUCCUUGAACUUCUCUGCUCCAUUCCUUAAGUUUAUUCUUAAGGGCUUUCAUUUUACAAGCCAAUACAUAGUCCGGUUUCCCCCCAAAAUUUAAUUUGUUCCACCAGUCUUUGACUCAAUCUGUGAACCCCUCAGUAUCUAGCCACCAAUUUUCAAACUUGAAAUACCUUUUAUUUUUGUUCCAGGUCCCACCUUGUAGAGCUAAUGGUACAUAAUCUAAAAUAAUCCUUUAAAGUGGGAUUACUUUCAAGUCGUUGAAGCUUUCAUCCCAUUCUUUUGAAAAUAGGAUUCUAUCUAUUCUGGAAGCUACUUCAUUGUUGUCCCCUUUGUACUAGGUGAAUGUUGCAUUUUCCAUUUGAAGAUCAAUUAGCCCCAUAUCUUCAAUGAAAUCUGAAAAUUCCCUCAUCCCUAUAGUUCUUCUAACACAGCUCCUUUUUUCUGCCACAAACCUACUAACAUUAUAAUCACCACAAACAACCCAAGGCCCUUGGAACAGACCUCUGACAUCACCAAUCUCUUCCCAUACUGAUCGUCUUUCAAUGUAGCAAUUUGGUGCGUACACCCCAGUAAUAUGACGAAAAGCUUUGGAGUUGAGCUUCAAACUUGCAAGUUAGGGUAUAUGAACCAAUCUCGAGAAUUUCUCCCUUCCAUAUUCUGAUAUCUCACAUCAUCAAUAUACCCCCUCUUGUUCCAAUGGCCUCCAAGUACUCAUAUUUGAUCCAUAUAUUUCCCUAAAUUUGGUUUACUAACUCUGUAAUGUCCCCCUACAACUUUGUUUCUUGGAAACAAUAAAUGUCUGCUUUCCAAUCAAACACCAUACUUUUAAGUUUUAGCAAGUCUCCUUUUAUCUCUACAAUUCAAUCCUCUCACAUUCCAUGAAAUUAGUUUGAAUCGCAUCAAGAACUAUUGUGGUUGUCUCUCCCCUUGGCCCUGUUUCCGCCGCUUUUGAAUUUUACAUCAAAGACCACCAAAUUUUUGAGUUCCUGGGCACUUUUGAUUCUGGUCUUCCUGAAUAUAUGUCUCCAUUCUUGUUACUUUUCUGCUACUAUCUACCUGCAACAAUAAGUAAUUCUAGAGCUUCCUCUUCGUGACCCUGAAAGUUUGCACCCAAGAUUUUCCCUAACCAUGUUUUGUUUUACCCAUAGUGAAGUCUACUUCUCUUUGUCUUGUAUCAUUAGCUGAGUUUGAGUGCAAAGAGGCUCGACAUCCUCCACCUCCCAAUUUUCUAUUGCUUCUACAAAAUUUUUGGAUUAUUAAAUCUAUAGUCCCUUGUGUAAUUUUGUUACCCUUUCUCGCUGAAUUGUCAAGAAUGUUCUGACCCCUUUGAUAGCUGCGAAGUUUCCCCCUUAGUUUCCAUUGUAGUCCCAUUACUUCAUCCUCUGUUCUCAUCUCUGCUAUCUGCGUAUCCACUGGAGCAGUUUGUUCUUGUUAGGUGCUAAGAAAGACUUCAUAGAAGUCAUCUUUUAUUGAGGAUAUGGACCCAAAUUCAUUUAAAUUGUUGUAAAUAAAGUGGGUUGCUGGGUUUGGCCCAAUUAACUUUUUAUUUGUUGGGUCCAGAGUGUAUUGUUCCUUGGUUCUUUUCUCAUUAAAACCCUGCACAUGUUGUGCACAUGACUGUGACUCUUUUUUACCUCCAACUGUCAACUCUGAACAACCCACGUGCUCUCUGUCAACCAAAUCCCUAAAAGCAUGGGAUAUUGGUACUUUGUCACAGAGCAAACUCUGCUUUGUCCGCUGGGUAAUAGGAUUUGCUGGGUAAUGCCAUCCAUCAUCUUCUCCGGCGCUACCUCCGACGGAUUCCGACAAAAUUUCAAUCGGGGUUUUGACUCCCACCAGAUCGGGAGGGAUGUAAAACUUGAGGCCAUUUUGUGAAAUUGCUACUUCUUUCGGAAUACUCUUCCCUUCAUUCGCGACCAGAAUUCUGGCCCACUUUAUGUGGUUCCUGAGCUUUGUUUCUUCCUCCAUAGCCAACCAUCCCCAUACACUUCUCCAAUUUCCUAGAUAACUUUGUGCGACCACAACUGUAGUGGUAUUCCAACAUCUCUAAUCCAGGUUUCCUUUGGACUUCUAGAGAUUGAUGUACACCCCUCUGUCGAGCUCCACCACUUGAGAUUGAGUUUGUUCUUCUGCCAGUACCAUUGAUGUUGUACAAUCUGGUCCGCCAUGAAUCUAUUGGGGAAUUCGAACAAAAAUCUUCUAUUAUUCAUCUCGUAGAUAUUUACCCCAAAGAUGAUUUUCCAGGUGGUUGAGGACCAUCUCCUUAUCUCACUCAAUGUAGGUCCCUCAUUGCUUUCAUCUUCCGAGUCCCAAACCAGACAUUUGUUUAGCAUCCCUGUCUCUUCAGCUCCUGGUUUAACAGAAAUUUCUAUUACUCCCUCUAACCUAUGUUUCUCCCGUUUUCUUUGGAUACCAUUUAUUGUCUUCAACUGCCUUAGCAUAAGGGUAGUUGAAUUCAGUUAACCUGGGUGGGCCUGCCACUUCCUGUUUCUUUGGGCAUUUAAGAAACUCUUCAAUUUUAUGAGCAAUUUCACACCAACCAACAUUCAAUGUUGUCUCUGGAAUAAUCAAUACUGAUCUCCCCCCCUUAUUUAAAGAAAGAAUGCUCAUGUAUCUUCCGUGUUCAUUUCAUUUCCUGGUAUUAAAAUGCUCUCCCCCUUUUCCGACAUUUUUCAUCUCCGGAUUAAGUUCUUUUGGUCCUUCGAAGCUUCCUUCAAGGUGAAGCAAAUCCAUUCCAUAGUGUUGCUGCUCAUUUCUGUCCUUCUCAUCAAUGUGCGGCUUCUCUCAACCCAUUCAUACCAGACUGUUGUGUUCGUUGUCCAUCUCGUGAUGUCAAAAGAUUUGAAUCCAGCAUUGAAGUAAAUCCUAGUCAUAUUCUCCCCCAUGAUCACUGUAGUAGUGAGGUAGGAGAACAAAGAAAACUAACCCUGAAUGGAGGAAUUGGAGGGGAAAGAAAGAAAGAAAGGUUGGUUAGAAAUAUUCCGGCAAGAUACCAAAAUUUCGAAUAGUUGGAAAGAAGAAGAGGGAAGAUUCUGAUUGAAGAGGUCCACCGGAAUAGGUGUCCUGAGGUCCAUAAGGGACCUUAGGUGUUUUCCUCAAAACUUUUGUCUAGGAGCGUUCUCUAAUUUUUUUGAGCCUUUUAUGUCUUUUUUUACUCGUUUUAUGGAUCAUAUAUAUGAACGCAUUACCAUAUUUCUUGAUAGUCAUGAAGUUUCUGAAAAUCUGGGAGCAUAGAGGGCUAUUGACGAUCUAAUAGAUGUCACCAUCAGUGAAAAUGCAUCAAAAGUGGCACAAUUCUCCAACAUUUGCGUUGCUUUUGAAACAAAGUGUGAUCCUGAAAUCUUGGUCCUUGCUAGUAAAGUUCUUGGUCAAAAGUUUAGGGAGUCCCUCGUGUUCUCCUUUGAUAUUUGCACUGUGAGAACACAAUCUCAUUUUCAGUUGGGGGGUGCCUCCCUUCUAGUCAUUUUGUUGAUUGUUUCUGCUUAUAGUGAUUGUGCCCUUGUCGGAAGUACGUUUCUUUCUUUAUUAUGGAUUGGUGUGCCCUUGUCAGGAUUUGAUAUUGGGAAUGUUUAUGUUGAUAUUGUGUUGGAUUGGUCUAUUUUAGUUGUUGAUUUGUAGUUUGUAGCUUCUUUGUUUUUAUUUUGAUAAAAAGAUUUGGAUUGACAAUGCCCGAUGAUGGAUAGAGCAUGACGACUUUCUAAACGGUAAAUCGUCGAUUGCUUGUGAGUGUUUUGAUUGGCGUUGAUUGUGGCGAUGUCUGAGUAGUUGUUCCCGAAUAGAUGCAUGAGGUUGCCUCAAUAGUUAUGAGUGAUUUUGUGACAACUGUUAUAACUCUUUUUGUAACUUUUGAUUCAUUAGCGGUUAAAAUGUUCAAUGCUACUUGUAUUUUCAAAAGGAAGUAAGAUUUUGAACCGUCUUAAUUGAUUUGCAGGCCAUGUGUGGUGAGUUGUUGCAUAAUGCCUUGUGUUUGCUUUUGUCACCUAGAACUUGCCCAGUUGGUCUUGAAUGAGUUUUGUUGGAGAAAUGAUGUGAGGCUUUCUUUAAUAUCUUGAAGUCCAAUAAAGUUACCAGUUUCAAAAAAAAUAUCUUGAAGUCCACUUGGCCUAAAAAUCUCACCUUUGUACUAAAUAUAUCCUUAGUUGUCCCCUUUGAGCCUAAUCCUUUUUAUUGGCAACCACAAGCCUUAUCCUUUUUGAAAAGGUAACCCUCUUUCGAACCCUUCCCUUCUUGAACUUGAGGUUGUGAAAGUUGAGGCUAAAAGCCUAAGUUGUGGGUGUUAUGGACAAUUCAUUGAAGGGAUGCUUACCACGUGAGGGCAUGUUGUAAAAAAACGAAAAUAUAAAGAAGAGAGAAAUUGAGGGAUGGGUGGAAAGUCUUAAAGAAAGAAAAAGUAAGAACGAAAAUGAAUAAAUGAGUCUUGAAUCCUCCAAAAGAUGAAAUUGGCUGCAUGUGAAGCAUCUAGAGUCGAAAUAAGAAAAGAAAAAAUGAAAAAUAGUGUGGAAUGUGCAUGGGUUUGAAAAGUGGAGAAAGUUGGAAAUGAUGAGUCGUUGUGUAGUGUUUAAGGAGGGUGUAGUCACUUAUAGAUUGCAUCUAGAAUGCAUUUGUGAUCUAUAGGUUGAUUAUGUUCUGUGGGGCUACCUGGGGGUUUCAGUCAUUUAUAGAAACCUAUUUUUAGUAUAGUGAGCCGUGUGUAUCAUGCCUUCAGAACAGGUGCGAGUCAGUUUUUUCGUUUCAGUAUUAUGUAAGGCCAUAAAGUUAUCCACCAUGACUAGUUUCAAAAUUCUACUUCUCAGAAAUAAAAAGAAGGAAUAAGUUUAAAGAAUUUAUAGAACUUCAACGUAACUGAAUUGUCUUUUCUCUUUAGAGUUUCUGGGACUUCUUAGCUAUUGUUACUCUUAAUCUUGAAAGAUCCCGAAAUACAGUAUUUUAGCAUGAGAUAUUGGAUGUAGGUCCUGAAUGGUUAAGUAGGCUAUUGGACAUAGAUUUGAUUGAAACUUUAAAAAGAAGUUUUGAAGUUGGAGUUGUAUUGGACAUGUAUCGCACUUGCAAAAAGUUGAAGUUCAAUGAGUUGAAAGAAAUAUUCACUGAUGUCAAACUUGAAAAUCCCAUCUUCAAAAAGUUAACCAAAAAAUCAUUCCAAUGCAUAACCAAACAAUGUUUUGAAAAUAACUUUUGGUGAAAAGAUAAAAAAAUUCUCAGUCAAAAAGAUUCUAGGAUAGUUGUUGGUUUGUGACGGAGCGGUUUGCCUGUCUUUGAGGUGCUAGUGGGGUGAAGGGAAGAUUCUUAGGUGAUGGAUGGCUGCAUGAAGAGAGUGGUGGUCGAGGUACCUCUGCUAGCUAUUGGAGGACAGUUUUUUCUUUGCUGUAUUGCCAUGUAUUUAGUUAUGCUAAUAUGUUCCAUAACUACUUUAGUUUCACGCAUUUAUGUGCCUUUUGUUUUAGUCUCCUUCACAAAGAAUAAUGUAAUAUGCU
rnacentral:lncRNA from 1 species